GAUGAACGCUGGCGGCGUGCCUAAUACAUGCAAGUCGAGCGAACGGACGAGAAGCUUGCUUCUCUGAUGUUAGCGGCGGACGGGUGAGUAACACGUGGAUAACCUACCUAUAAGACUGGGAUAACUUCGGGAAACCGGAGCUAAUACCGGAUAAUAUUUUGAACCGCAUGGUUCAAAAGUGAAAGACGGUCUUGCUGUCACUUAUAGAUGGAUCCGCGCUGCAUUAGCUAGUUGGUAAGGCAACGGCUUACCAAGGCAACGAUGCAUAGCCGACCUGAGAGGGUGAUCGGCCACACUGGAACUGAGACACGGUCCAGACUCCUACGGGAGGCAGCAGUAGGGAAUCUUCCGCAAUGGGCGAAAGCCUGACGGAUCAACGCCGCGUGAGUGAUGAAGGUCUUCGGAUCGUAAAACUCUGUUAUUAGGGAAGAACAUAUGUGUAAGUAACUGUGCACAUCUUGACGGUACCUAAUCAGAAAGCCACGGCUAACUACGUG
rnacentral:rRNA from 1 species